UCUCCGUAGGUGAACCUGCGGAGGGAUCAUUACUGAGUGAGGGUCUCCGGGCUCGACCUCCAACCCUUUGUGAACACAACUUGUUGCUUCGGGGGCGACCCUGCCGUUUCGACGGCGAGCGCCCACGGAGGCUCAUUGAACACUGCAUCUUUGCGUCGGAGUUUAAGUAAAUUAAACAAAACUUUCAACAACGGAUCUCUUGGUUCUGGCAUCGAUGAAGAACGCAGC
rnacentral:misc_RNA from 1 species